UACGUAGGGUGCAAGCGUUGUCCGGAAUUAUUGGGCGUAAAGAGCUCGUAGGCGGUCUGUCGCGUCGGAUGUGAAAACUCGGGGCUCAACCCCGAGCCUGCAUUCGAUACGGGCAGACUAGAGUUCGGUAGGGGAGACUAGAAUUCCUGGUGUAGCGGUGAAAUGCGCAGAUAUCAGGAGGAACACCGGUGGCGAAGGCGGGUCUCUGGGCCGAUACUGACGCUGAGGAGCGAAAGCGUGGGGAGCGAACAGG
rnacentral:rRNA from 1 species